rnacentral:rRNA from 1 species
UACGUAGGGUGCAAGCGUUGUCCGGAAUUAUUGGGCGUAAAGAGCUCGUAGGCGGUCUGUUGCGUCGGCUGUGAAAACCCGGGGCUCAACUCCGGGCCUGCAGCCGAUACGGGCAGACUAGAGUUCGGCAGGGGAGACUGGAAUUCCUGGUGUAGCGGUGAAAUGCGCAGAUAUCAGGAGGAACACCGGUGGCGAAGGCGGGUCUCUGGGCCGAGACUGACGCUGGAGGCGCGAAAGCGUGGGGAGCAAACAGG